rnacentral:misc_RNA from 1 species
UUUCCGUAGGUGAACCUGCGGAAGGAUCAUUACAGAGUUCAUGCCCUCACGGGUAGAUCUCCCACCCUUGAAUAUUUAUACCUUAGUUGCUUUGGCAGGCCGUGGAAACACCAUGGGCUCCGGCUUAUGCGUGCCUGCCAGAGGAAACAAACUCUGUUUUUAGUGAUGUCUGAGUACUAUAUAAUAGUUAAAACUUUCAACAACGGAUCUCUCGGUUCUG